CGAACAGCGUUUCUCCCAUGGCUGCUUACCGGAUUCCGGUUGUAUGUUGUUUAUAUUGUUAUUAUUAAAUAUAUUGGGAAUGAAUAAACUAAUGCAUGUAGGUUUAAUAUUAAUGGCAAACAGGAAGCCGUUGUUGCCUCGAAGCGUCACGCAGCCAAUCUCCUAAAAAGUUCAAAUGUUAAAUUGGGAAAACAGAAAGAGCUGUAAGUCUGUCAGCAAACAGAAAGCCUCAGAACGACUGAGGCGUCAAAUAAAGAGGGCCCAUUGCCCAUCCAGCAGCACCAUGCUCCUCCUGCUUUGGCCAUCACUGCUCCCUGGCUGCAAGAUCCUCUCAUCAGUGUGACUCUGCAAACCUGAGCUCAAGACAUUCCUUGACAUUUGUCUGCAACAAGCGCACAACCCCGCAGUAUAUUAGAUGAUGAGAUUUACAAAGACACAAUAGAAGAGAGGGUGAAAACUGAGCCUUUUUUCUUGAUCAUACGUGCAUACAAUAAGUAUUUUAAUUCAACACUAAACGUUCAAACACUAAACAACAAGUAUGUGUUAGUUGUUAAUGUUUUGUGAUGCUUAUCCAGAAUAAAAGAUAAUGAAUUUGUGAGGCAAGGACAUUUAUUAUUUGUGUUACUGUGACUGGUAAGAAAUCCACUGCUCAGGAUGUAAAAUUAAGAUUGUACAUCAUUUAAAAAAAUAAAUAAAAGAAAGAAAUUAAACAUU